UUGAGGGGUGAACAACUUAGUGCUUGAUCCUCCAGGGUUACCUGCAAAGUGAUUCGAUUAUCCAUUGAGCGAAAGAGCAAAUCACCUACUUGAGGCGGUGGAAAGCGUAUGGAAGUUAUAUUAGAGCUUCAGCAAAGUGCACAGCUGCAUAAUGCAGAAGCCUGAAUUCAGAUUGACAGGCAAAUAAGCCGGCUUGUGGAAGGGGCCUCUGGGUAGCAGCUCUGGGCUGUUGGGUGUUGGACAACUCUAGGCAAAACUGAAAAGGAACAGGGGCAGAAAAUAGCACACUCUUACUCUACGCAACUGUUGUUUUCUCAUGACCAUGCUCCAGACCUCUGAGCUGCUUCUGCUUCUGUUCAUUUCUACUACUGCACUCUAAGUGAAAGUAUAAGUAUGUUGUUCCUGGACCAUACCUAGGCCGCUAAAUUUUCUCCCUAUUUCUCCAAAGCCACCCCAUUCUUACUCUUUCAGCCGCGUCCUAUCAAGCAGCCAGAAUAAUGUCACAAAUAAGAUCAUCAGGAAAUUUACUGGGAUAAUUCCAAGCAUUGUAUCUAAGAGGUGAGUAGAACU